UUAAUUAAAGCCAAAAAAGAGGCUUAUCACUGUUAAUGGUAGAACUGGCAGAUUGCCUAAUUAAG
rnacentral:tRNA from 1 species